CGAUUCAGGCAUGCAUAUGCCUGCGUGUGAAUGGCAGCAGUUGGCAACAACCACUCUGCCCGUCUGUUCGGGUCACCUCGAGACCGAUAUGGUUACUCUACCGGAUCAGCUGAUAGAGAGAGGUCAUUCCACGAGAGCUGAUGAUUCGUUCGCACUACAUCGGCAAGGAUGUUGCCUUCGCAAGUCCGUGUCACCCGACCCGGUCAGAAGUCGACGAGGCCUUACGUCCCCCGCGGCCCAGCCCUCCUGCUUUGCGUUUCUCCCUUCUCCACCAUGCUCAGCAGCUGUUCCACAGUCCGACCACCGCCCUCAACAGUGUUGGCCCGACGCGUUGCGAGACAUCCAAGCCGGGCGGCGGAGCAGGUCACGUUGUCGUACAGAGUCCGAAGCAGGGGCACCGUUGUGCGCAUCGUGCUGCCAGCAAGUGAGCCUGCGUCGUGAAGGCUGCAUUGGACUCGUUGUACCGUCUGCUGGCCAUGUUAACCAGCGUCGGAGAAUGCCAAGUACAUGUGGAAGCCACAUCUGUUCGGACACUCCAGAGCAGAAGUCAACAGAAGCCAGCACUGGUUCUGGGAAUCAGGCAGGCCUUGCUGUCGCGACACCUUCUGAACCAUGGAAGACUGGUGACAAUGAAGAAGGCUGUCUCCAACAUGUUUUGAAGCCGAGGUGCAGGUCCUUAAGUCAACGGAAGGAAGACGUGAUUAGACCCGGCGUUGUUUCAUUCCAUCAGUACACACCUCAUGUCACCUUGAACUUCGACCCUCAAUCGGCAUGUAUGAGAAAGGCGGUUCGGCUGAUAGGACCAACCAAUACGCCUGGUCAGUCGACGAUGCUGCCCCAGAGGUGCUCCCUUCGUUGGUGAUCACAGGGGGAAAGCGG
rnacentral:lncRNA from 1 species